AGCAAGAGAUGGGAGUUUCUUCAUGUGAAGUCUGAUGUUUUCAGAGCAAAGCUUAAUGCUGCUAAGAAAAAAGGGAGGCAAAUGCUGCUGCUUAAGCAGAGCUGCCAAGUUCUGGGUAUUUCUGUAUCGCUGCAUUCUCCAUGUGUAAUAUUUCUUGUUUCUUGCAGAGCAGGGGGGAAUCAAACUGUGCCUGGGACCUCGGCGCUGGGGUGCCCUGUCCCUCGUGGGCACACUCGGGUUAAUCAGCCCUUGCAUGAUGAGGACAGAACCAUUAACACCUCCAACAUGCAUGCCUGGACUUCCCGGGUUUCUCGGUGCUAGCCCCAAAAUUACAUCGCCUUCUAACUGCAAAGUUGUUCAUACCCGAGGACCUGCGAUCUCCGGAAACCCUUCUGCCAAAAAGCAGCCCGGAUCUUCCCUGCUAAGGAGGGCAUAUUUGGCCGCACUCAGCAAAGUGAACGCUGCACCCAGGAAGCUGAACAGUGGCAUCUGACUGUGAGUCUUGUUCAAAGGAACCGCACGGGGCUGUGUUUAUACACCUGAGAAAAUUGGCCUUGAACCUGCAGCGCCAGAGGUUGUUAGACCCGGGCAUCACAUGUUACGUGAUAAAAAGAGCCAAGGGAUGGUCUAAUCCUUCUCCUGUGCCAGGCGAGAAAUUCCCUCCUGGAAAUUCAGCUGUGGGAAAAAACUGUGAUACAAGAUAUAAAUUAAAAUAUAUAUUGGCUGA